GGAAAGUCAUGAAGUGAGGUUAGUUCAUACGUAUGAAGUAUGUGAAGCUAAAUGCAAAAGUAUAAUCAAGAGCCGAGAGAGAAUGUGUAUUCCAUGAUGCAGAGUUAUUGUUCAACCACGAUUCCCCGGAGUUUCGGGCAUUUAGGAAUAGGUUAGAAUAACCUUUCUUUUUGUUAACUGAUAUACAACUCUAUUUAAUUUUAUUUAUUUUUGCCUCAUGUUUUUUUCCAAUUUGCCAGAACAUCACACACCAUUGAGGAGUAUAGAUUCAGGGUCUAGACUCUCUUUGUCUAUGUCGGUUACACAUUCGGACUUUAGUAAUAUUUUACAAAUACAGCUGGAGGAGUAUUGGAUU